UGAGGAAUAUUGGUCAAUGGGCGGAAGCCUGAACCAGCCAUGCCGCGUGCAGGACGACGGCCCUACGGGUUGUAAACUGCUUUUCCGGGGGAGGAAUAACCCCCCUGCGGGGGGGAUGCCGGUACCCCGGGAAUAAGGAUCGGCUAACUCCGUGCCAGCAGCCGCGGUAAUACGGAGGAUCCUAGCGUUAUCCGGAUUUACUGGGUUUAAAGGGUGCGUAGGCGGACCCCUAAGUCCGCGGUGAAAGUCUGCGGCUCAACCGUAGGAUUGCCGUGGAUACUGGGGGUCUUGGAUUCGGUCGGGGCGGGCGGAAUGCGUGGUGUAGCGGUGAAAUGCAUAGAUAUCACGCAGAACGCCGAUAGCGAAGGCAGCUCGCCGGGCCGAUAUUGACGCUGAGGCACGAAAGCGUGGGGAUCGAACA
rnacentral:rRNA from 1 species